GUACGGGAGGCAGCAGUAGGGAAUAUUGCACAAUGGGCGAAAGCCUGAUGCAGCAACGCCGCGUGCACGAUGAAGGCCUUCGGGUCGUAAAGUGCUUUUCUGGGAGAUGAGAAAGGACAGUAUCCCAGGAAUAAGUCUCGGCUAACUACGUGCCAGCAGCCGCGGUAAAACGUAGGAGGCAAGCGUUAUCCGGAUUCACUGGGCGUAAAGCGUGUGCAGGCGGUUCGGUAAGUUGGGCGUGAAAUCUCCCGGCUUAACUGGGAGAGGUCGUUCAAUACUACCGGACUAGAGAGCAGUAGAGGAAGAUGGAAUUCCCGGUGUAGUGGUGAAAUGCGUAGAUAUCGGGAGGAACACCAGUGGCGAAGGCGAUCUUCUGGACUGCGUCUGACGCUCAUACACGAAAGCUAGGGUAGUAAACGGGAUUAGAUACCCCGGUAGC
rnacentral:rRNA from 1 species